UGGGCUUUAGAAUUUGUUUAGAGAAGCAGUGAAAACCUUGACUUCCUUUUAGCAGAAGCACAAUUUUAUUAAUCUGAGACCCACCACCCAGGUUUGAAUCAUUAACAUUUACCUUGAGUUUCAGGAGAGAAGAUCAAGAUCCACAGUGUUGAACCAGAUGGUGUGAGGAUCUGUGGAAGGUGCUGGCAGCUUUGCUCCCUGAAGAUUGUCUUUGAGAUCUGUUGCUUCAAAUGAAGCUCCCUGGGGUGGGGAUUUAUUCUGUUAUUUCCUCAG